UACAGAGGUCUCAAGCGUUGUUCGGAAUUACUGGGCGUAAAGCGUGCGCAGGCGGUUGUGUAAGACAGAUGUGAAAUCCCCGGGCUCAACCUGGGAACUGCAUCUGUGACUGCAUCGCUGGAGUGCGGCAGAGGGGGAUGGAAUUCCGCGUGUAGCAGUGAAAUGCGUAGAUAUGCGGAGGAACACCGAUGGCGAAGGCAAUCCCCUGGGCCUGCACUGACGCUCAUGCACGAAAGCGUGGGGAGCAAACAGG
rnacentral:rRNA from 1 species